ACACGACUACAUUAGAUACCCGGGUAGUCCUAGCCGUAAACGAUACUCGCUAGGUGUCGGCCACGGUGCGACCGUUGUCGGUGCCGUAGGGAAGCCGUGAAGCGAGCCACCUGGGAAGUACGGCCGCAAGGCUGAAACUUAAAGGAAUUGGCGGGGGAGCACCGCAACGGGAGGAGCGUGCGGUUCAAUUGGAUUCAACGCCGAAAAACUCACCAGGAGCGACGGAUAUGUGAAGGUCAAGCUGAUGACUUUACCUGAUUUUCCG
rnacentral:rRNA from 1 species